rnacentral:lncRNA from 10 species
AGGCAAACAGGCCUGGAAGCAGUGAUGAUUUCAAAUCCUGCCAAAUGACCGAUUCUGGGAAGUAGGGGUCAGGAUGUGUGGGGGCUGGUGUUGCUGUGUGGAGCCUACCAGGAGGCCAAGAGGCCAAGAGGAGAUGGGAGAAGGACCCUGAGACACAUGGGCUGUGCUUCUUUCAGGAAAACCCAGGGUUGAUGACAAUGAUCAGCAAACACGAGGGGAGGGAGGGGAAGCCUGGUGCCCAGGGCCCCAAGACAUAGCUGGAGUCUGGCCUGGGCCCCAUUUGGGAAAACUCAGAGGGUUGGAGGAGGUGUCUGGGGAAGAGUCAAGGGUGGGAGAUGACUGAAGUCGGGGAGGCCCUGCCUGGAAAGGAGAAAGCUGCCUGCUUUGUUUCUACACUUGAAAAAAUGCCAGCCAAGUUAGCCUCACAAACACUGUGGGCACAGACGGAAGAAAACAAGAUAUUAGGUAUCUGGAGCUGGAUUUUUCCGAUGACCGGGUGCUUACUAAUCUAAUCUUCCCAGGCAGAGUGACGAGCUUGCAGAUUGCAGAGAGUGAUAGAUGUUACCUAUCUUGAGUUCAGUUGGGCCGUUGCUCUUCGCUGCGUGACAAACCUCCCCCACCCCCAAACCAGGAGCUAAAGGGAACAUUAGUCCUGUUCUCUGGAUGACAAGGCGGAGGACCUGGGCCUCCACGGGCCAUCACAUAUAGCAGGGGCUCAGAGUGAUGUCUUGGGGGCCCAGGCCUGUGUGAUGGUGUCAUGAUCUCCAGGAAUGGAGAACAGAUGAUGUGUGAUGUUUUGCAGAGGACAUCCAAUGUGGGUGGGAAGGGGUCUGCCCAGGGAGGAAGGAUCUGGACUCACGGGGCUGAGGUGAGGGGGGUCAAGUGCCCUGCAGGGCCAGAGGCACUGGCCGGAGGGGCUUGCCCAGGUCCUGGCUGGUUUGGGCCUGUUCGUCUCAUACCUUCCCCAGGCCUGGCACUGGGCUAGGAUGUGGAUCUUAUUCUGUCUCUCCGAGGCAGCAGUGGGGCGGGUACUGCUGGGUGAGCCCAAGCCCGGGGCUGCCGCCGACUUCAACACUGAGCUCUCAGCCUCCCACGUGCCUCCCGCCCCCUGGGCCGCUUCCCCCAGAGAUGAGUAAAGGACUGAAAAAUUAGAACCAGGAGGGAAGUUUGGGGGAAGGUGAGGCUGCAGGCUGGUGGUGAAGUCUGCAAGCACAGGAGGAUUACGGCUUUUUACACGAAGGGUGUUGGGUGGGUGGUUCUCUCUCCUCUGCUCUGGACAGAACACAGGAAGCUGGCUUGGAUGGCAGCACCGAGCCUUCGAGCUGGGGUAGGGAAGAGAUCUUGCCAGCAAGGGGCAGAUAUGCAAAUGAGUUACUAGUAAACCUCCGUGUGUGGAAGUCUCAGAGAUGGGCUGGUGAUGCCUGGUAGCCGUGACCACCUGCAGCAGAGUUCCAGGAUUUCUGCAGGGACCACUGUGGGAGCCCCCCGGGCUGCGUGAGAAUCCCCACCAGUCACUGAGUCAGUCCAAACCUUGGUGUCCCUAUCUGUGUAUUGACACAAACGUUUCUGCUCAUGAGACUGCUGUGAGGAUUGGAGAGAUACUGUGUGUUUUCAGAUCGAAAGUACCACACACGUGCGACCCUCAAUGCACACACGUGCACACGCAUGGACCCUGGCAGAUGCGCUGGGUCCAGAUGAAUCAUGGAAUGUGCUGGGGUGUGCUCUGCUCCCCUCCUCAGCCCCCUUCCUCUCCCUGGACUUUCUCGAGUCAGAGCAGAGAUCCUCUGGGGCUGAGUUCAGUUGCAUGGAGCCAGGGGAGCCACAAGGGCCUGGCGCUCUACGCCUCCCUCCUGGGCUUUCUCCCCCAGGCCUGGGAGCGGAGGAGACAUGGAAGCAGCUGGGUGGAUCCAGCCAGAGGUGAGAGUAUAACCAGCAAAGCAGCAUUUGCAGGCUGAGAUCUCCUCCCCCUGCUGCAACUUACUGGGAGCGGGGCCUGUUGCACAACCAGGCCUGCCUGGACGUUCACCAGGAGCUUACCCAGAGGGUGGCUGGGGGCCCAGGACCUUUCUGGCUGCAGUGGCUCCAGGCCUGGGCCACCCCUCACCCGCUCAGCCUGGACCUAGGCCCUGCUGGCUUGGCCCCAUCUCGGGACUGGCCUGGGCUGGGGUGGGGCUGUCCUCUGGCUCCUGUCUUUGCUGACCCUGCAGGCCAGCCCUUGCAGCUGUAAGGGGUUAAUUAACAGUCACGCCGGGCAGAAGGGUGGUAACCAAAGGGGAAAAAGUGGGGAAGUGACAAAAGUUGAAGAAAUCUCACAGGGCCCUCACAGCUGGGGGCUCUAGUUCCUGAUUCUCUUGCUGAGACGGUGCCUGACGGCAGCCCUUGGCCUCUGCCUCCCCUUCCACCCCCGCCAGUGAGGGUGCAGGUUCCCCUCCCGACACAUCCCCCCAAGCACCCCUGACUCAGCUCCUUCCACAGCCUGCAGAUCCCGCAGCGGGUGGCUGUGGGGCUGGGAGUCUGGUCAGGGGUCAAUUGCAUUUCCUCGCUGGUCUGCCCUGGAUGCUUCCUACUCAGAGGCCGAACAUCUGAGUCUCAGGGAGGUCAAGUGACCAGCGGUGUGCCUGAGCUCAUGGCCAGUGGUGUGGCUGGGAUCCAACCCCCGCCUGCAGUGGGGCUAUGCCGCCGAGUUCCUUACUCCUGAACUCUGCAGAGGGGUCUGGGGAAUGGGCGAGAGGGUCCACAGCCAGGAAGGCUGUCAUGCACGCAGUGGAGCUUUAGUGCGCCCUGUCCUGUCCGGGGUGGGAACCGGUGAAGGACUUAACCUGACAAGGGACAGAAGUGCCUCCCCACGAGAACUCGUCCCUUUGAGCAGCCACUCAUGGACCCAACAGGAUAGGAAGCACCUGCAGCCCUCUCUGCAGGGAAGAAGCCCUGACUCUGGGGAAGAAGGCCUCCCUUGGGUCUUCUCUUGGGUCCUCUUGCUGAGAUUUGGACCCAGGGCUCAUGCCCAUUAGCCUGGGAGUGUCUCUCCUGGUCCUCCUGCGUGUCCUGUCCUGACAGAGCGGACAUGCAUUUCUCCAGUGUGACCACAUCGGGGCUGAGUUUAAAAAGCCAAGUCCCAUUUCUAGCUGGUAGUGUUGAGAAGGAAGCCACAUGGGGUGGUGAGGAGGUGGGUGGAAGAGGGGGGCCUGGCUCCUGUGGGAGGACUGCUGUCCCACUGUCCACCUCCCCUCCAGGUCAGCCCUGGGUCUCCCUCCUCAUCCUCCUGAGCAUUCUCUCCAUGAAUAAGGGAGGUGAUUCCAAGAGGCCCGUAGCGGGUCCUGGGGCAGAGGCUUCGAGUUUAAUUUUAUCGUGAAUACAUUUGGUAUCGUAAUGAGAAAGCACAGUAAUAAUGAUGAUGGUAACAAAGUCAUUCAUUCAACAUCGACUGCAUGCCACAGCACACCCUAAGCUUGGACGCUCUGAUAUAAUCCUUCCCACAAAUUUAACAUCCCUAGUACUGAUGAAGACGUUGGGAUACAGAGAAACGUGCUGAGUUUCCACGGCUGGAGAAAGGCAGAGCUGGAUUUAAACCUGGGGCCUGGAGCCCCAUGCUCGCCCUUUCUCUAUGUGGCUCCUUAAACCUGUAGGUGAUCGGCUCCAUCCUUCAAGACCACACUUGGGGUUUGUCAAGGGUAAAGUAGGUUUAUCAUCUUAAAGCUCUGCUUUGUGCUAAGGCUAGAAAAAAACCCGAUUGCUCACCUCAGAGCUUACAGGUGAAGAAAUCACCAUUUGCCUAUUCACGCGGGGCCAGGGAGAUGGUGGAGACACCCACAGUUGAGGGGCUGUGAAAAGAGAGGCUAACUCUAGCUCAGUAAGUUUUUAGCCAAGUGACCUUGGGCAAAGUCCCUAAUCUCCCAGAGCUCCAGUUUCUUCACCUGUAAAAUAGGUGUGAUAAUAGCUUCUGGCAGGAUUUAUGAGUUUACAUGGCUGCCACAGCAUGGUACCCUGAACUGAGUGACGUCAACGACAGAAACGUAUUGUUCUGCAGACCCAGAGUCCAAGAUCAAGGUGCAGGCAGGGUCGGUUCCUUUUGGUCCUGGGAGGGAGACUGUUCCAGGUCUGCCCCAGCUCCUGGUGUUUUGCUGGCUGUCUCUUCCUGAUUUCUGCCCAUGUGGCUGUGCUCCUGGGGGAUAAGACAGAGUGUCACAAAGUGGCCUGUGCUAGGCCAAGAUGUUGGCUCCGUUGAGACAGAACCAUGUCCUGUGUGCUCAAGCACAAUCUAUAUUCCAGACCUCUGGGGAAAGGUGGGGAAAGAGAUGGGUGAAUGCUCUGGUUUCUCUCUUUAGUUGACGCUAGGGUAAGGGCCAUACCCUCUGUUUGGGCCAGAUUGGGCUGCUGGGCUGGGAGUCAGCUCUAAGAGCCACAGUGUGGGCCUUUCCCAGAUCCCUCGUGGAAUGGGGUGAGCAAGCUGCUAAGCUGCUGAGCACAGUGCUGCCAGCUCUGCGCUCCACCAAGCUCAUUUUUAUCCAUUUCAUUUUUACUUGGCAAAUAAUAAUUGUCUGUAUUUAUGGGGUGCAAUGUGAUGUUUUGAUACAUGUUUACAUUGUGAAAUGAUUAAAUCAAGCUAAUUAACAAAUCCAUCACUUCACAAAUUUAUUUUUUAUACAGAAUGGGGACUAUAAUAAAUAAAAGAUGCAUUGCAUAUUUCGCAAUUGCUAAAGCAUAGUAGAUUUUAAAUGCCAGCUUCACUCUCUGUAGUCCGGUAUAGACGUGGCCCCCCCCCAUGCCCUUUCAGUAACAAAAACAUACACACACAUGCAUGGAUAUGGAGCUCUUUAGACACAUGACCGGAUACUUGAAGGGCUGCUACUCUUUGGGACAAUGUUGGCUGUUUACUGAGCUGUGAGUGAAGAUGCUUACAAGAUGAUCAAUGUGCUGAAGAAAUUCCACUUUGCACUGGGGUGUAGCAGGCCAGCCCAGCCAAGUGCAAAGAGCUGAUAUCGUAUUGGGAGCAUGCUAUGGUAAUUGUGUGUGUGGUGGUAGGGGGCCUACUAAAGUUAGAUGGGUAGAGCCAUGGUGAUACUUCAUUUACCACCUCUGUAAUCUAAGAACAGAAGCUAUCACAUGUCUAUGACAUGUCAGACACUGCUAGCAUGUUCUUACAAGGGAGGUUAUUAUUCUCAUUUCCAGAGAAGCAUCCAGUCCUCAGGACUAAGUACUCUUAAUGUCUGUUGGUUUAUCUGUUCUUUGAAUAGAUCUUUUGUCCAUGCAUGAUUUUACAUUGUCAUGUUAACUACCGGUUUACUGAGUUAUGAAGAUCUUCCAAAUGUUGACACAUUUCAUUGUUCAAUAUCCAGAAGCCGCCAUAAUUAAUAUCAGCAUCAAUCUCUGUGGAAAAGUCUUGGAGUGCUCUCAGUCAAGUACAAGCUUCCCAAAAUUCUAAUUUUCACUUGAAAUCUUAGAUAUUGUUGUUGACAAUAAACGCUGUCA